CCUACGGGCGGCAGCAGUGAGGAAUAUUGGUCAAUGGGCGGAAGCCUGAACCAGCCAAGUAGCGUGCAGGAUGACGGCCCUACGGGUUGUAAACUGCUUUUAUACGGGAAUAACGCGCCUUACGUGUAGGGCUUUGCAUGUAACGUAUGAAUAAGGACCGGCUAAUGCCGUGCCCGCAGGCGCGGGAAUACGGAAGGGCCGGGGGUUAUCCGGAUUUAUUGGGGUUAAAGGGGUCGUAGGCCGAAUGUAAAGCGUGCUGUGAAAUGUCCGGGCUCAACCCGGGCCUUGCAGCGCGAACUGGCGUGCUUGAGUCCGCGGAAAGCAGGCGGAAUUCGUCGUGUAGCGGUGAAAUGCUUAGAUAUGACGAAGAACCCCGAUUGCGAAGGCAGCUUGCUGCAGCGGAACUGACGCUGAUGCUCGAAAGCGCGGGUAUCGAACAGGAUUAGAUACCCCUGUAGUC
rnacentral:rRNA from 1 species